CUCCACUGCUCCACCCCCAUUACAGCACGUUCGUAGAACUGCAUAAAACCACACGUGCAUCAGAUGGUUGCAACAACACUUUUGACCACUGUAAGGAGCAUGCAGUUCGCUUGGUAAAAGGUUUCCAUCUCCCAGUUGCUAAAAUUUAUUCUAUAAAAACAAAAUGCCCUUGAUGCACAUCUUGCCUCUGGAUGGCACAUCCAUUCUGUUUAUUAAUCUGAUUUGCAUCAUCCUUAUUUACAUUCUUUAUCACAAAAAAAACAAUGAGAAUUUCCCACCAGGACCCAGGCCUCUACCACUAGUGGGGAAUAUAUUUAUUAUGGACAGAAAAAGGCCUUUUCAGACUCUGAUGGAGCUGAAGGAAAAAUAUGGCUCAGUGUUCAGCAUUCAGUUGGGCUUCCGGAAGAUGGUGGUUCUGACUGGCUAUGAGACUGUGAAAGAGGCGCUUGUCUUGAAAGCUGACCAAUUUGCAGAGAGGCCAGAUAUUCCUAUAUUCAAACAAAUUACAAACGGAAAUGGUAUGUCCCAGCUUCAGGUGGAAGUUUUUGUUGACAUGUGCAAAAGUCUGUGUGGAAGUGUGCUUCUCCUUCAUUCUUUUAAUGUUUUAAAAUUUCUUCUUAUUAAAGAUUGUACUGAUCAAAAAUAUAUUUAAAUGUAUGUGAUUAUGGGAAGAUCA